AUAGAGAAGAGGGGAUACCUAGAGAGCAAAUGUCACAAUUCUCAUACUAGGGUGAGAUUGAGGAUUUUUAAGACAUUUCCUUAUAAAAUUAAGAACUUAAUACUUAUAUUAACUAUGUUCUAUGCCAAGUUUAUUUACAUUCAUUUAUAAUAAAGUAGUUUGAUUAAAUUUUCAAUGCAUCUCUUUAUAAUGUCUUGAUGUGCACUUUGACCUAACCGUAGCGAGAGGGUUAAUGUUCAUCUCUGCCUCUUAAGACUGUGAUACUUGUUGUUUAUUUUUGUAUCAAUAGAAAGUAUUUUAUAAGGAGUAUUAGCAGACGUUGUUCACCAAACAACUCCCCUUAAUUCUGACUGUGGUUCUCCAUAACUUGCUGCUUGCACAAACCUUUCUAAUUCAUUCUUCUCAUCACUAGGGUCAUUGAGCUAAAUGUGUGUUUGCCUGAUUCUUACUUUUCUUUUGAUUUUACCCAUCACAAUAAACUCACUGUUAAACUUACUUAAGUACUAAAUGGUAAUUUUUAUUCCCUGUAAUAAUUCAACCUACCAGAAAGAUCACAUAUUCAAAACCAUUAUAUUAAUUCUUUAUAUUUGAAUCUUGUUUCCUUCACUGUCUCAGUGGUAAGUUUAUGACCUUACAAUGCUCAGACCCAAUUCCCUGUGGUGGACAAAGCUCAGAUAACCCAUUGUGUAACUUUGUAAUAAAACAACAACAGCAACUGUAAAUCUCACUGAUAGAUCAUUCAAAAAGUAUUGUUUAAAGGUGAAAUUGUGACAAAGUUUUUUCAUACAAUAUUAGAAAUGUUUAAUUUGCCCAUCUGUUUUUGUUAUGUUUUCAAAUAUAAAUAUUUUAUAAAGUCAAAUAAUUUAAUAAAAAGUUAAAAUGAAUAAAAUUUUUCUACAAUUAUGUUAAGAGGCAGAGAAUAAUUAAAGAUAUGAAGUUUUAAUCAGCAAUUUCCAUUUUGAAUGUGACAUUCUAAACAUAGUUUUAAAUUGUAUUAAAAUAUCUGUGUAUUAACUUUGAAAUAUCAGGGCAGGAGAUCUAGUCCCUGCUUUGGACUAUGGGAAAAGUACUUACUAAUUUCUUGGUUUCUAAAAUGUAGUUUUGUUUCUGAAUUUAAAGUUUUUUUCCACAGAUUUUACUUCCAGUUUUAAUGUCCCCCAGUGGCUUAUAACGUUAAAAGAAAAUAUUUCAAUGCCUAUGGUGGGCACAGCAUAGAUAGCCCUUUGUGUAGCUUUGUGCUGAAUUACAAAUCAGUUUGAAAAAACCCCAUUUAAUAUUCAACCUUACAUAUUUUGAGGUGAUAAUAAAAAGGAUGUUACCUAAAUAGAUGAACCCAUUUCUGUUGUUACAUAAAUAGGUGAACCCACUUCUGUUUUUACAUAAAUAGAUGAACCCAUUUCUAUUGUUACAUAAAUAGAUGAACCCAUUUCUGUUGUUACAUAAAUAGAUGAACCCACUUCUGUUGUUACAUAAAUAGAUGAACCCACUUCUGUUGUUAAAUAAAUAGAUUAACCCACUUCUGUUGUUACAUAAAUAGAUGAACCCAUUUCUGUUGUUAUAUAAAUAAGUGAAUCCAUUUCUGCUAAAGCCCAGCUACUCAAAGUAUUAAGAGCAAACUAAAACUCAUUCAGUGUAAAUGUUGAACUGUGAAUCCAAGAGCCAAUGGUUCACACCCUAUUGUCACAAAAUCACACUCCACAAUUUAGAGCCAUGGGUGCUUUAUAAGAGUGAUAGUCAAAUCCCAUUGUUCAAUUAAGAGUAGCUAAAGAAUUGGCAGUGAGUGGUGUUAACUAGUUGCCUUCUCUCUUGUCUCACUUCCAAAUUAGAAAUGGCUAGUACAGAAACCUUCUGUAACUUCAUGUGAAUAUCCAAAACAAACCUUCCUCCUUGUUGAAUUUUGGAUUAUUUAUUUCAAAAAUACACUAAAGAGAGUAUUUCAGCAGCUAAAACAUGUAUGCAAAGUACAAAAUAAUACAUUGGAACUUUGCAAUUCAAAGGUUGCUACCACUUGAAGAAUGCAAAAUCAAAAAAUUUGCAUAACUCAUCCUCAUCUGAUGAGGAGUUGACUGGUAUACUUGUAUCAUCUGAAUGUGUUAACACAUUCACUGUCACUGGAAAAAUGUGUACCCAAGAGUUUUAGUCAGUGCUAUCGAUUCAUGUGUGCAUCAACAGAGACAUUGAGGCAGUUGUAUUUUAUUGGAAUCAGCAUGCAUUAAAAGUUGGUUCUGCUGUGGCGGUACUUGUAGAAAUUUUGGUUGGUUGUAAACAUUAUUUUAUAUAUAUAUGUUUCCUUGUUGGCCUUUAUAAAAUGGAUAAAAAUAGUACCACUUCAAAGCUCACAAUAAGAAAGAAAAAUUCAGUGUUUUGGAAGGGGUAAAAGUGUAAAAACACAAUGUAUUAUUGUGAACAUUGUUGUAAAAACCAAGCCAUUUGUAUACAGCCAUGUUUUAUUAAAGUUUGUUGGUAAAUAAUGACUAAAAAGUAGUCUAGCAGAAUUUGUUUCGUACAUUUGAUGUACGUCAGAAAACAUCAUUAACUGAUGUGAUAUUCCCAUGAUUAUAAUUUACUUUUCUUUUACAUUCACAAAAUACCCCCAAACAUGACAAGGUAUAUAAAUGAUGCAGAUAUGUAUCUUGUAACACCAAUAGAAACAUUUUAGCUGCAGUGCCAAUGACGGUCACUCGCGUCAUGGUAUAGAUUUUAGUUGGAAAAUGAUAUAUACUCAUGAAUACUCUUAUCUGAUAUUAUUUUGCAUUAUCAAAAUGCUCCUGAUAAAAUGGCACCUGGAAUGGGUGUCAAUAUCCGAGGUAGCAGUGAAUGUGUUAAUGAUUUCAUUACUGUUUAUAUCUGUUGUGGUUUUAUGUAAGAAAAACCAUGUAUCUAACAAAUAUCUCUUUCACUGAAAUUGAUGUAGUCCUCCCACAGUUUUAUAUAAAUCUUUAUAUAGAAGCACCAGAUGGUGGAUAAUGUGUAGCACUCAACAAAACCUGUGAACUGAUAAUAUAUGGACUGUAUGAAAAAGUUAUCUUUCUUAUGAGACUAGUUUUUAAUGUGCUAGUUCAUAAUGAGUUAUAAGUAAAUAGUGUAGUAGAAGUUAUUAUUAAAUUCACCUAUCUUUUAUUUUCAAGAUGUUAGAUCCAGGACAGGUUAGCUUUCACUUCAGUUAUUAAAAGUCUUGUAAUGAGUUACCUGUAUAAGUAGUAGUUAUAAUUAAUUUCAUAAAUAAAGUAUUUCAGCCAUCUCAAAUUUUAUAAGUUUCAUUUUCACAGAUUCUGUGUCUGUUAAAUUUGAACUUUCUGCUAUACUUAAUACAAAUUGAUCCAUUUGAUAUUUCUGACAUAUUCACUUUUUAUAGAUUUAGUUUUGUUUGCAUUUGCCUUAAGGUAAAAAAAAAAAAAAAAAGAGAGGAUAUUUUCCAAUUUAUCCAGAUGAAACCCAUAGUUGUUGAAUGUGGUGGUUGGAUUACUUGGGUAA